rnacentral:rRNA from 1 species
GCAGAACGCGAAGAACCUUACCUGGGCUUGACAUGCUGGUCGUAGACUUGUGAAAACUGUCGUCACUUCGGGUCGGGACCACGCACAGGUGGCUGCAUGGCGUGUCGUCAGCUCGUGUCGUGAGAUGUUGGGUUAAGUCCCGUAACGAGCGCAACCCUACUGAACUGUUGCCAGCGGAUAAUGCCGGGGACGUCUGUUCAGACUGCCCACGAUUAACUGGGGAGGAAGGAGGGGAGUGACGUCAAGUCAGUAUGGCCCUUACGCCCAGGGCUGCACACGUGCUACAAUGUCCAGUACAAUGUGAACCGAGACCGUGAGGUGGAGGAAAUCGUCAAAACUGGGCUCAGUUCGGAUUGUAGGCUGCAACUCGCCUACAUGAAGUUGGAAUCGCUAGUAAUGGUGCAUCAGCUACGGCACCGUGAAUACGUUCCCGGGUCUUGUACACACCG